CGUGCACUGGAGGCGGGGCCCCUGGUGCGGAGGUGGCUGCCUCGGAGGUUUGUGUGGGGGGAUUGGUGGUUUCUGGAUCCUUCCUCCAGGAUUUUCAGCGCUGGGGAGCUCUCCUUUCUGCAGUGUGGAGGAGCGCUGGGCAGGAGGCAGCGCUGAGGCAAAAGGAAGAGAGUUUCCAUGCAGGCCGCGGUGAUUGAUCCUGAUUACCAAGAGGAAACUGGACUGCUGCUCCACAAUGGAGGUAAGGAAUACAGGAGACUCCUUAGGGUUUUCUUAGUAUCACGUGCCCUGUGAUUAACGUCAAUGGAAAACUACAAGAAACCAGUCCAGGCAGGACUACGAAUGGCUGUGACCCUUCAGGAAUGAAGGUCAGGUUCUACCACUGAAAUUGAAAAGGGUUUGCAAAGAACCACAACCAGCUGAGGUGCUUGCUGAGGCAAAGGGAAUAUGAAGUGGGUAAUGGAAGAAGGUAGUUAUAAAUACCAGCUAUGAAAGGGUGACUACCUGCAAAAACAUGGAGUGAUUGUUAUAUUUCUUCCUUAUUCAAGUAUGAAUAAGUUUGAGUACUUUUGUGUAUUUUGUACACUAGUUAAAUUUACAUAAGUUUAAAAAAGCAGUAAAAGAUUGAGUGAUAUGUA